AGGACCGGGACAGGGACCAGGACCGGGCCGCCGUGGAACAACAGAACUAACUGCCGCAGAUCAAUGGCUUUCACCGAUUCCUCCCACUCAGCUAAGAAUACAAGCAAGACGUUAUCAAAUUACUGACAUAGUGGCAAUGGUUCAACAUCGCACUGCACUGCACUAACCGCAUGAAAGAGUUGCAUGUGGACCAGACAAGUGGGUGGAAAGGAAGUCUCCCGUCCUUGUUAUCGAAGACUGCUUUCUUGAUGUGGCAUCUCCAGGGCAUUCCCUGAUGUCUUGUCCCAAUGUUCAUUCUUCAUAUGUAAGCCCAAACACUGAAUAUUGUCAAACACAAUGAACUGCAGAAACUGGUUUACAAAAAAAGGUACAAAGUGCUGGAGCAACUCAGACUCAAUGUUCUUCAGUCUGAAGAAGCAUUCCAACCCGAAACGUCACCUAUCCAUUUUCUCCAGAGAUGCUGCCUGACUCACUUAGUUAUCCCAGCACUUUGUGACAGAAGAUUGUCAAAUUGAUUGACCUUUGGUACAUCCCAGCUUCUCUACUCUGCCCUUGUUGAUGCUAAACAAUACACAAACAUUCAGGAUGGUCAACGGAAAUCGAAAACCAGCUGAAUUUUCUGCUCCCCGGGCCAACAUCUGGUUCCUAUUCUAUUGCCUCAGCUGCCCUGAUUGCAGAGAUCAGCCAUCUCAUCGCUGAAUAGGGACCAAAUCUAGAAUCUUCCUUCUCUGUGCAGUUCAAUUAUAACUUUCUUCACCAACUUUCUUCAUCUUCUCCCGAGUUUUAACUUUGAUUGUGUAAAUUAUUUGCCACCCCUUUCUUUCUGAACUAGGAAAAGUUAAACCCUAAUAAUUGGAAAACAUUACUACAGGUAAUAAUCCACAAUUGAAAGAAUGGAAACCCCUCAAGCAAUGAAUGCUUGGUAUUAAGAAUCUGAAAUACUUUCAAAGGUUAAACGCUCAUGACAGGCCUCUGUACUCUACAAGAAUUUCUUCAACUGUUUUGUGGUUACUUAUUCUGUGUAUCAUGUCCCCCUUGGGAAUGUACAGAAAACAGUAUUCCUGCCUCAUCCAGACAAAAUCUGCAAGUACCUGUACUAAAAGCAAUUACUUCAUCCACAUCAGGAAAACUGGGGAAUUUUUUGGUGAAUGUUGUGAGUUCCAGAGGAUUUUUUUUACCCAACUACACCCCUAUCUCUCACAACUGGUGCCAAGGGAUGUUGCCAUAUGAAAACAUCGCUGUCAACAGCAAUCAAUAUUACUUGCGUUGCAACAUUCCAGGCACUGCUAAGGCCUCAUUUAGUUACUUUGUUUCUGAAAAAGCUCCCGUUUCAUUGUACUUGUGGAUAGGUUUCUUAUUUUAAAUGAAACCUGACUAAAUAUAACAAUGACAUUGAAAAUUGAAUCAAAAAGUUAUUGUCAAGCAAACAAAUGUCUUAUUGUUCGAAGCACUACCAAGGCAAAAUUGAACGUAAGGAGCCAAAUCAUUUGGGGUAAGCGGUUCCUAAGGGAAGCAAUGGUGUUCUGCACCUGAGUUUGAAGAAGAAUAUGAAGAAGAGUCCGGAAGAUUGAAAUUAUGUUUGUGAACCAAAUUAUGGUUUCACAAUCAGCCACUCAAUCUUAGAUCUCACCAAAUAAAUACAUUUCUGGAUCAGUAACAGAGCCUUAAGUUCAUCAUAGUCCCACUUCUGUCUUUCAUUAUCAGCUCACAUUUAUCAUAAACUAGUUAAUGAAGCAACUUUCCACUUUUAUUUAUACAAAGUGGACUGUGGUAGAAAUAGUAUUGGCAGUUAUCUUAUACACAUGGGUUGACAUCAGGGUUGACACCAGAUUUGGUUGUCAUAGAGUAAUAUAGUGUGGAAACAGACCCUUCGGCCCAACUUGCUCACACCGCCAACAAUGUCCCAGCUACACUAGUCCCACCUGCUCACGUUUGUUCCAUAUCCCUCCAAACCUGUCUUAUUCACGUACCUGUCAUACUGUUUCUUAAACUUUGGGAUAGUCCCCACCUCAACUACCUCCUCUGGCUGCUUGUUCCAUACUCUUUGUGUGGAAACCAUACUCUUUGUUGUUCCAUACUCUUUGUUUCCACUCUUUGUGUGGGAAAAGUUACUCCUCGGAAACUUAUUAAAUCUUUUCACCUUAAACCUAUGUUCUCUGGUCAUCGAUUCACCUACUCUUUUCAUUUAUCCGAUCUAUUCCUCUCAAGAUUAGUGAUUACUCUCAUUGUCAAAGUGUCAUCUACUGGGAAUUUUGACUG